rnacentral:rRNA from 1 species
AUGCUUUCUCAGUCGAUCGGCGUUGAUGUCGAGUAUACCAGGGAAGACGAACCUCCGCAAAUGGCUGCAGUUCUGCAGUUAUGCGUGGAGGAUCUCGUCCUGGUAUACCACAUCAUCGCGGCAACCAAAUGGCCCAAGGAACUCCGCCCGCUCCUGCAGGAGAAGAAGCUAUACACCUUUGUUGGAUUCUCCACUAGAGGUGACAAGGAGAAGCUGAAGUUGUCUGGUUUGGAGAUCAACCCCGACAAGUUCGUCGACAUGCAGCGCAAAUGGAGAGUUCCAAACAAUGUAAAGAAGUGGCAGUCUUUGGCUGAGUUUGCAGCCAGCCUCAUCCACCCAUCCUACAAGGAAAUGAAGCAGAAGAUCAACAAGAAAUUGGACCACAAACUAUGGGGGAUCAGCCCAGUGCCAAACAACCUCAUCGAGUACGCAUCGAAAGAUGCAUACGUCACCUACAAGGCAUGGAAGAAAAUCGAAACUAUCAAAGAAGGUUUGAAGCAAUGGCAAGAGGCGGAGGAUCAUUGGGAUGACCCCUACUGCUGGGGAUAUUGA